rnacentral:rRNA from 1 species
GACGAACGCUGGCGGCGUGCUUAACACAUGCAAGUCGAGCGGUAAGGCCCUUUCGGGGGUACACGAGCGGCGAACGGGUGAGUAACACGUGGGUGACCUGCCCUCAGCUCUGGGAUAAGCCUGGGAAACUGGGUCUAAUACCGGAUAUGACUCCAUGACGCAUGUUGUGGGGUGGAAAGCCUUGUGCGGCUGAGGAUGGGCCCGCGGCCUAUCAGCUUGUUGGUGGGGNGAUGGCCUACCAAGGCGACGACGGGUAGCCGGCCUGAGAGGGCGACCGGCCACACUGGGACUGAGACACGGCCCAGACUCCUACGGGAGGCAGCAGUGGGGAAUAUUGGACAAUGGGCGAAAGCCUGAUCCAGCGAUGCCGCGUGUGUGAAGAAGGCCUGCGGGUUAGUAAAGCACUUUCAGUAGGGAAGAAAGCGAGUGCCAAUACCACUCGGUCUUGACGUUACCUAAAGAAGAAGCACCGGCUAACUCCGUGCCAGCAGCCGCU